CGGACGACGUGCCCGCCGGCGGCCGUCGCCGCCGGCGCAUCCGAACCCCGAGGAGAGACGACUGUGAACAAUGCCGAUCUGCACGCCCGCAAGAACGCCGCGACGCCGCGUGGCGUCGGCGUGAUGUGCGAUUUCUACGCCGCGCGCGCCGAGAACGCCGAGCUGUGGGAUGUCGAGGGCCGCCGCUUCAUCGAUUUCGCGGCCGGCAUCGCGGUCCUGAACACGGGCCAUCGCCAUCCGAGGAUCGUGAAGGCGAUCGCCGACCAGCUCGGGCAAUUCACGCAUACCGCGUAUCAGAUCGUGCCGUACGCGUCGUACGUCGAACUCGCCGAGAAGAUCAACGCGCGCGCGCCGAUCGCGCAGCCGAAGAAGACCGCGUUCUUCACGACGGGCGCGGAAGCGGUCGAGAACGCGGUGAAGAUCGCGCGCGCCUACACCGGCCGGCCGGGCGUGAUCGCGUUCGCGGGCGGCUUCCACGGCCGCACGAUGAUGGGCAUGGCGCUCACCGGCAAGGUCGCGCCGUACAAGAUCGGCUUCGGCCCGUUCCCGGGCGACGUGUUCCACGCGCCGUACCCGAACGCGUUGCACGGCGUGACGAGCGCCGAUUCGAUCGCGGCCGUCGAAACGCUGUUCAAGGCCGACAUCGAUCCGAAGCGCGUCGCCGCGAUCAUCUUCGAGCCGGUGCAGGGCGAAGGCGGCUUCAACCCGGCGCCCGCCGAGUUCGUGCGCGCGCUGCGCAAGCUGUGCGACGCGCACGGCAUUCUCCUCAUCGCCGACGAAGUGCAGACGGGCUUCGCGCGCACGGGCAAGCUGUUCGCGAUGGAGCACUACGACGUCUCGGCCGACCUGAUGACGAUCGCGAAGAGCCUCGCGGGCGGGAUGCCGCUGUCGGGCGUCGUCGGCCGCGCGGACGUGAUGGACGCGGCCGCGCCGGGCGGCCUGGGCGGCACGUACGCGGGCAAUCCGCUCGCCGUGGCCGCCGCGCACGCGGUGCUCGACGUGAUCGACGAGGAGAAGCUCGCCGAGCGCGCGACCGUGCUCGGCGACAAGCUGAAGGCGAAGCUCGCCGCGCUGCGCGCCGAGCUGCCGCAGAUCGUCGACGUGCGCGGCCCGGGCGCGAUGGUCGCCGCGGAAUUCGUCGAUCCGCACACGCGCGCGUCCGAUGCCGCGUUCACGAAGCGCGUGCAGACGCUCGCGCUCGAGCGCGGGCUGCUGCUGCUCAUCUGCGGCGUCGACGCGAACGUGAUACGUUUCCUGUUUCCUCUCACCAUCGAGGAUGCCGUGUUCGACGAAGCGCUCGGCAUUCUCGAGAGCGUGCUGAGGGAAGCGGUGGGCGUGCCCGCCUGAGUCUUUCGCCGCCCGCGCGCGGGCGGCGCCAAUCGUUUCCGGAUACGGCCGACACUGAUGACUACAGCUCACGAAACCCUUGCACUGAAAGAUCCCGCGCUGUUGCGCGAGCGCGCGUUCGUCGCGGGCGAAUGGCAGGCCGCCGACGGCGGCGCGACGCUCGAGGUCCGCAACCCGGCGACGGGCGCGCUGAUCGGCACGGUGCCCGCGAUGGGCGCGGCCGAGACGCGCCGCGCGAUCGACGCGGCGAACGCCGCGUGGCCCGCCUGGCGCAAGAAGACCGCGAAGGAGCGCGCGGCGAUCCUGCGCAAGUGGCACGAUCUGAUGAUCGCGCACGCGGACGAUCUCGCGCUGAUCCUGACGACCGAGCAGGGCAAGCCGCUCGCCGAGGCAAAGGGCGAGAUCGGCUAUGCGGCGUCGUUCCUCGAAUGGUUCGCCGAGGAAGGCAAGCGCGUGUACGGCGAUACGAUCCCGACGCCCGCCGCCGACAAGCGGAUCGUCGUGACGAAGGAGCCGGUGGGCGUGUGCGCGGCGAUCACGCCGUGGAACUUCCCGGCGGCGAUGAUCACGCGCAAGGUCGGCCCGGCGCUCGCGGCCGGUUGCCCGAUCGUCGUGAAGCCGGCCGAGGCCACGCCGUUCUCGGCGCUCGCGAUGGCGGUGCUCGCCGAGCGCGCGGGCGUGCCGGCCGGCGUGUUCAGCGUCGUCACGGGCGAGCCGAAGGCGAUCGGCGGCGAACUCACGUCGAACCCGAUCGUGCGCAAGCUGUCGUUCACCGGCUCGACGCCGGUCGGACGCCUGCUGAUGGCGCAAUGCGCGGCGACGGUCAAGAAGGUGUCGCUCGAGCUCGGCGGCAACGCGCCGUUCAUCGUGUUCGACGACGCGGAUCUCGAUGCGGCCGUCGAGGGCGCGAUCGCAUCGAAGUACCGCAACAGCGGGCAGACCUGCGUCUGCACGAACCGCUUCUACGUGCACGAGAAGGUCUACGACGCGUUCGCCGAGAAGCUGACCGCGGCCGUCGCGAAGCUGAAGGUCGGGCCCGGCACCGAGGCCGGCGUCGUGCAGGGCCCGCUCAUCAACGGCGCGGCGGUGCGCAAGGUCGAAGCGCACAUCGCCGACGCGCUCGACAAGGGCGCGCGCGUGACGACGGGCGGCCAGCGCCACCCGCUCGGCCACGGCUUCUUCGAGCCGACCGUGCUGACGGGCGUCACGCCCGACAUGAAGGUCGCGAAGGAGGAAACGUUCGGCCCGCUCGCGCCGCUGUUCAGGUUCUCGACCGAGGAAGAAGCGAUCCGCUACGCGAACGACACCGAGUUCGGCCUCGCCGCGUACUUCUACAGCCGCGACAUCGGCCGCGUGUGGCGCGUGGCCGAGGCGCUCGAAUACGGGAUGGUCGGCAUCAACGCCGGAAUCAUCUCGAACGAGGUCGCGCCGUUCGGCGGCGUCAAGCAAUCGGGCCUCGGCCGCGAGGGCUCGCACUACGGGAUCGACGAUUACGUCGUGAUCAAGUACAUGUGCGUCGCGGUGUGAUGCGUGAGGUGUGAUGCACGAUGCGCGCCGCUCGC
rnacentral:rRNA from 1 species